rnacentral:misc_RNA from 1 species
GAUGAAGACGUAGCGAAAUGCGAUACGUAAUGUGAAUUGCAGAAUUCAGUGAAUCAUCGAAUCUUUGAACGCAUAUUGCGCUCUCUGGUAUUCCGGAGAGCAUGCUUGUUUGAGUAUCAGUAAACACCUCAACUUCCAUAUCUUUUUUGAAAUGGGAGUUGGACUUGAGUGAUCCCAACGCUUUUCCUCACCGAAAAGUGGCGGGUUACUUGAAAUGCAGGUGCAGCUGGACUUUUCUCUGAGCUAUAAGCAUAUCUAUUUAGUCUGCCUAAAAACAGAUUAUUACCUUUGCUGCAGCUAACAUAAAGGAGAUUAGUUCUUGUGCUGACUGAUGCAGGAUUCACAAAGACAGGCUUCGGCCGACUUUGUAAACUCGAUCUCAAAUCAAGUAAGACUACCCGCUGAACUUAAGCAUAUCAAUAAGCGGAGGA